ACUCGCUUUCCCGUGGUGCUUUGCGCGGCAGCGACCUGCAGGCCUGCCUGAGGGCCGACACAGCGGCGCGACAGCCGCUAGCUCCUGCCCUGCCAUGGGCUCCCUGCUCAGCCGCCGCAUCGCCGGCGUGGAGGAUAUCGACAUCCAGGCCAACUCAGCCUACCGCUACCCGCCCAAGUCCGGCAACUACUUUGCUAGCCACUUCUUCAUGGGCGGCGAGAAGUUCGACAUGCCACAUCCCGAGGGCUACCUUUUUGGGGAGAACAUGGACCUCAACUUUCUGGGCAACCGCCCCGUCCAGUUUCCCUAUGUGACCCCAGCCCCUCAUGAGCCAGUAAAGACCCUUCGGAGCCUGGUGAACAUCCGUAAAGACUCCCUGCGUCUGGUCAGGUACAAAGAAGAUGUUGACAGCCCCAUAGAGGAGAACGGGAAGCAGAAGGCUUUAUACAGUCUUGAAUUCACCUUUGAUGCAGAUGCCCGGGUGGCCAUUACCAUCUACUGUCAAGCAACAGAGGAGCUGAUUGGUGGCAUGGCUGUCUACAGCACAAAGAAUCCUCCUCUGCAAUCGGAGACGGUGCACUACAAGCGAGGAGUGAGCCAGCAGUUCUCCCUGCCGUCCUUCAAGAUCGACUUCUCCGACUGGAAGGAUGAAGAGCUGAACUUUGAUCUUGACCGGGGCGUUUUUCCAGUGGUCAUCCAAGCCACGGUAGACGAAGGCGAUGUUGUUGUGGAAGUGACUGGCCAUGCCCACAUCCUCUUGGCUGCCUUCGAGAAGCACGUUGAUGGCAGCUUCUCUGUAAAGCCCUUGAAACAGAAGCAGAUUGUGGAUCGGGUGAGUUACCUGCUGCAGGAGAUCUACGGCAUUGAGAACAAGAAUAACCAAGAGACCAAGCCCUGCGAUGAUGAGAACAGCGACAACAGCAACGAGUGUGUGGUGUGUCUCUCGGACCUGCGGGACACUCUCAUCCUGCCCUGCAGGCACCUCUGUCUGUGCAACUCCUGUGCCGACACCCUGCGCUACCAGGCCAACAACUGUCCCAUCUGCCGUUUGCCCUUCCGUGCGCUGCUGCAGAUCCGGGCAGUGAGGAAGAAGCCGGGUGCCUUGUCACCACUCUCCUUCAGCCCCGUCUUGGCCCAGACUCUGGAUCGGGAGGAGCAGUCGUGCUCGGACAACAUCCCCCCAGGGUACGAGCCCAUUUCCCUGCUGGAAGCCCUGAACGGCCUGCGCUCCGUCUCGCCCUCCAUCCCCUCGGCUCCCCUCUAUGACGAGAUCAGCUACUCUGGGGUGCUGGACGGCCUCCCUCCCUCCAGCAGGCCCCUGGUGGGGCUCGACCGAGGAGGCCUGGAGAACAGCCACUCAAAGAGCAAGCGCAGCAAGUCUCCGGACAGUGCUCUCCGGUCCCCCUCCUCACCAAUCCAUGAAGAGGACGAGGAGAAAUUCUCGGAAGAGCUGGCCCUGGAGCCGCCUGUUGCUGGGACGGGGCACAUCCUGUGUGAAGACAGCUCCCCUGAGAGCCUGGCAGCUGAAGAAGCCAAGGUGGUCGCUGCCCUGCCACAAGGUAGCCAGGAUCUUGUCCAGGAGAGUAGCAAAUCUUGUGAGGCCAAGGUCCUCCGGAAAAUGGAAAGUGAGCUGCCUGCUGAUGUCUACCUGCCAGGAAGAUCGAGCCGCUGCAGGAGCCUUGCAGAUCAAUAUAAGAGGCCCAGCUGUGUGUUCUGGGUCCAAAGAGGGCGAGAAGCAGUGGCUCAAGACGGGGCCUGGUCAGUGUCUGUUUGCGGGUAGGGUGGGGCAGAUGGGAACCAUUCCCUCUUGGAGCACCAUGUUUGGCUGGACAAGGGACGUCAUCUAUUCUGAGCUUUUUUUCUAACUUCUCCCUCCUUUCUGUCUGCCCUCUGGCCCUGCCCCGCCUGGGCAGCCCUUGGCCCGGAUGCCUGCUCUGUUGGGAUAGAGGAGUAAGCCGGGUCUUCUGACUUCACCGGUGCCCUCCCAAACCGUGGGAGCAGCAAUUCCGGGCAGCCCUUCCUUUUCCUUCAGCCUCACCUCUGUGUUGAAAGUGGGCCGAACCUGUCCUAAGUACCUGGCCGAAGAAUCAAACUCCAAGCACCAUCCACCUGCAAGAAGCCAGCCCCUUUCCCCUCCCUCCUGGCCAGAAGGGACACAACUUCAGACGCAGCAAGAUGGACACAUUUUUCUUCUUUGGGCCGGUCUCGGGCCAGCACCCUCUCUUUUCUGGAUAUGUGUCUCUGUAUAGACAUGCAUGACCCCCUUGUAGUCGUGAUGGGAACGACCCCUUCCCGGUCUGCUGCCAUGGACUGUCCUCUCCCCAGUGGGGACCCUUUUCAAGCCUCUGUUCUCUUGCUUAGCCAUUCUUGGAUGCAGUCAGCCCCUUGGGGCCUCUGCAAGAGCAGCUGGGGUGAAGUGGCUCCCCACAUCGAGGCCUGCGAGUUACAGGGCUGUUCUUCCCAUCUCUCACCAGGUGCAGCACCUGCCACCUGCUGAUUGUAGCCACAGCUCUGGGACUUUCCCCCCCUCCAGGCCGGCCCUCAUGACUUGUGCAGGAGGUCCCUUACUCUGCUGCCAGCCACUCUCCCCUGCCCUCCCCACCUCCCGGCGAGUCUCUUCUAGUGCCUGUCUUCUUUCCACACCUAGAAGGUGUGUUCCUAUAUUUAUAGUAAUAAACCUUUUGGUGUCAC